rnacentral:rRNA from 1 species
AGUGAACGCUGGCGGUAGGCCUAACACAUGCAAGUCGAACGGCAGCACAGUAAGAGCUUGCUCUUACGGGUGGCGAGUGGCGGACGGGUGAGGCAUACAUCGCAAUCUACUUUUUCGUGGGUGAUAACGUAGGGCCACUUACGCUAAUACCUCAUACGACCUACGGGUGAAAGCAGGGGUUCUUCGGACCUUGCCCGAUUGUAUUAGCCGAUGUCGGAUUAGCUAGUUGGCGGGGUAAAGGCCCACCAAGGCGACGAUCCGUAGCUGGUCUGAGAGGAUGAUCGGCCACACUGGAACUGAGACACGGUCCAGACUCCUACGGGAGGCAGCAGUAGGGAAUAUCGGACAAAGGGCGCAAGCCUGAUCCAGCAAUACCGCGUGAGUGAAGAAGGCCUUCGGAUUGUAAAGCCCUUUUGUUGGGAAAGAAAAGAAGUAUGUUAAUACAUGGCUGUUCUGACGGUACCCAAAGAAUAAGCAACGGCUAACUUCGUG